rnacentral:rRNA from 1 species
GAUGAACGCUGGCGGCGUGCCUAAUACAUGCAAGUCGAGCGAACAGACGAGGAGCUUGCUCCUUUGACGUUAGCGGCGGACGGGUGAGUAACACGCAGGUAACCUACCUAUAAGACUGGGAUAACUUCGGGAAACCGGAGCUAAUACCGGAUAAUAUUUCGAACCGCAUGGUUCGAUAGUGAAAGAUGGCUUUGCUAUCACUUAUAGAUGGACCUGCGCCGUAUUAGCUAGUUGGUAAGGUAACGGCUUACCAAGGCAACGAUACGUAGCCGACCUGAGAGGGUGAUCGGCCACACUGGAACUGAGACACGGUCCAGACUCCUACGGGAGGCAGCAGUAGGGAAUCUUCCGCAAUGGGCGAAAGCCUGACGGAGCAACGCCGCGUGAGUGAUGAAGGUCUUCGGAUCGUAAAACUCUGUUAUUAGGGAAGAACAAACGUGUAAGUAGCUGUGCACGUCUUGACGGUACCUAAUCAGAAAGCCACGGCUAACUACGUG